UCUGCUAUGUUUCUUGGUGAGUUGCCUACUAUCUGGGUAGUUGGUUCCCUUCUACCAAUUGUUGGUGGUGUAGCACUUGCAUCAGCAACUGAGGCCUCUUUCAAUUGGGCUGGGUUUUGGAGUGCAAUGGCUUCCAAUUUGACAAACCAAUCUCGUAAUGUCCUAAGCAAAAAGGUCAUGGUUAAGAAAGAGGAAUCCAUGGACAACAUUACUCUCUUCUCAAUAAUAACAA
rnacentral:misc_RNA from 1 species